rnacentral:rRNA from 1 species
GAUGAACGCUAGCGGCAGGCCUAACACAUGCAAGUCGAGGGAGGAGCUUUCGGGCUUCGACCGGCGUACGGGUGCGUAACGCGUAUACAAUCUGCCUUUCACAUAGGGAUAGCCCGAAGAAAUUUGGAUUAAUACCUAAUGGUAUAUAGGAGUGGCAUCACAUUUAUAUUAAAGCUGAGGCGGUGAAAGAUGAGUAUGCGUUCUAUUAGCUAGUUGGAGAAGUAACGGCUCCCCAAGGCGACGAUAGAUAGGGGUUCUGAGAGGGAUAUCCCCCACACUGGUACUGAGAUACGGACCAGACUCCUACGGGAGGCAGCAGUGAGGAAUAUUGGACAAUGGUCGGAAGACUGAUCCAGCCAUGCCGCGUGCAGGAAGACGGCCUUAUGGGUUGUAAACUGCUUUUGCAGGGGAAGAAUAAGGACUACGAGUAGUUUGAUGACGGUACUCUGCGAAUAAGCAUCGGCUAACUCCGUG